UACGUAGGUGGCAAGCGUUGUCCGGAUUUACUGGGCGUAAAGAGCGCGUAGGCGGCCCGGCGCGUCCGCGGUGAAAGCUCCCGGCUCAACUGGGAGAGGUCCGCGGAAACGGUCGGGCUGGAGCAAGGUAGGGGGUCGUGGAAUUCCCGGUGUAGUGGUGGAAUGCGUAGAGAGUCGGGAGGAACACCAGUGGCGAAGGCGGCGACCUGGACCUGUGCUGACGCUGAUGCGCGAAAGCGUGGGGAGCGAUCCGG
rnacentral:rRNA from 1 species